ensembl:lncRNA
UGCAUCUCCGAACAUGGCGUCUGAAGAGACCAGUAAUCUAUAUAAAAGUAGUUCUCGCAAGGUGGUGGAUGACUCCCUGGAUCCUCUUUCAAAGGAAGCAGCAGAUGAUGCUAGUACACAAUUGAUAUCCUCACUGGAAAGCAGUUGUGAUGAUGUGAACUCUUUAAUUAGUCCACCCGGGAUGUUCUCUUGUAAUUCUGCCACGGUAUGAUGUAGUACUCCCUUUUGUUAUCAUAAUUUGCAGAGUGUUUAUAUUUUGUAGCAGCUUUGGAAAUUAAAAUGUUUUCUCUUUUGGUAAAAGCCAACACAUGUGCUGAAAUUGGAUGAGAUCCUGACAGAAUCCCCAGAAACUAAAGCACCUUCUCAGAGGAGAUGUAGAUGUCAGAAUCUACCAACAUCUCAAACCACAGCACAAACUGAGAUUGAGACCAACCAGACACUAUCUGUGCAGGAAACAGUUGGUCCUGAAAGCCACUCAAGCCUUGAAGACAGUGAGAGGGAAGCCCAUCCUGGGCCUGAUGGCAUGAUAUCAACAGCCAUUGUUCCAGGGUCUGAAGAUAUGAGAGAUGAGAGUCACCUGAAGUGGGAAUGUCCUCUCAGAACAGAACUCCAGAGGAAUGAGGACUCUGUUGUUGACCCUCCAGUACACAGUACAUUCAUAAAGGAGUCUGAGGGGAACAACGAAGCUGGUUAUGAGGGUAUUUCACACAUAGUGUUGGCUGAUGCCUUCGUACUCUCAUCAGAAGAAAUGAAGGAUGUUUUUAAUAAGGAAAAAGAAAGCCUUUAUGAUAGUGAGCUCCAAAUACCUGAGGGCUUAUCUGUAUGUCUGACAGAGAGUGAGAAAUCUGUUCAUUCAGUUAUUGACCAAGAGGAAAUAAUGGCAGAUAUUUCUAAAAAUCCUGAUACUUGCAGAGAGAGAUGUGUGUCAUCAUCUGCAUUUCAAGAGAACACUAUGCCCUCUAGGAGAGGCAAGUUGCAAGUGAAGCCUAAAAUCCCCAAAACAACAUCUACUGAAGACGAUUGCUCUAGACAGAAGCUAUCUGACUUUGGGUAUAAUGAUCCAGCCACAACUCAAAUAAUUUCACCAGAACCUCUGAUUAAAGAAGAAUCCAGUAAAGUGGAACAGAGAUCUGAGCAAGAAGUUUUCUCUGAUAUUCCAAAGGAGGAAUUAGACGGAGAGCCUGCUGGGAUUGCUUCAUCCUCACAACUUCAACAGCUUAUACCAUUCAGCACUGUAAAAUCAACAGCAUGCACUGAAUUGCAUCCAGUGGAACUGAAAACAGAGGGUAGGCAUGAGGAUGCGUCACAUGUGGUGUUGCCUGAUAUAUUGGUGCCGGUUUCUGCUGAAAUGGAAAAUGGUGAUCAUAUGGCGAGUGGAAGUUCUGUCCAAAGCAGUCUCCAAAUGGGUGAAGAGAGCCAGCAGGUUGUCGCUGCAGAAGCAGACCAGGAGGUGCUUUCGCAUGAGGGUGUUUCACACAUGCUGCUGACUGAUAUGUUGAUCCCCGUCUGUGAGAAAAUGGAAGAUGAUUUAAACAAGGAACGGACUACAGCUGGAGAGAAAAGCCCUCAUGAGGAAGGAAGAUCUCAGGUAAGAGAGGAUCCAGAUACCGCAGACCUGUUCUGUCAAGUGUCACAAUCAUCAAAUGUGGGACCAUCAGUAUCACCCAAGAGGAAAAGACCCACUCGGAGGAAAGGCAAGUUAUUGGUAAAGAUGACGUUUCCCAAAAGAAAGACUGGAGAUUCCCCUAAGAGUGGCGAGCAAUCACAAACCGUUCCUCUGUCAAUCUUCAUCUCGGAGUCAACACAGUGCAGUGCUGAGACAUGUGCUCACUUCCUGCCCACUGGCUCGCAGGACCAUGAGGAAGCAUCUGGGGGUGUUUCACACAUUGUGCUGUCUGAUAUUUUGGUGCCUGUAUUGGAUGAGACCGCUGAAUGCAGCCAUCACAAAGACCCCUUAUCUGCUGGUCUUCAAGAAGUUGAGAAGUCAACAGAUAUUGAGAGACCAACAAAUACUGAAAUGGAAGAGAUGACCUCAAGUCAAUCUGUGGCAGUGGAAUGGAAAACACCUUGCUGUAGAAGAGGCACACUGCGUCCAAUGCCUAAACUGUCAAAAAGAAAAGAUGAUCCUUCAGAAAAUGACCUCGGUCAGCCCAGCUCUACGCAGACCUCUUUAGCUACACCUCAGCAGUCCCUGGACCCUCAAGCUGCGGAAUGGUCUCUCAGAAGCAAUAUGCUGCCCGUGGACUCAGAUGAGAUGGAGAACUGGUGUGAAGGAGUUUCCCACAUGUUGCUGUCAGAUGCAUUUGUGCCCGUUUCUGAAGAGACUGGAGAGAACAGCACAGAUCUAAAAGUGUUUGUCUUAAGCAGUCCUCAUAAGAAUGAGCAAACCACGCUUAGUCCGACAAAGAGUGAGGAGACAACCUCUGAAAUUUCAAGUGAUGUACACCAAUUAGACACUACUUCUGACAUGAGAAAAUCAAAUGAGAGUCUGCCAGCAUCACAAGCAAAAAAAUCACCAGCAAGAAGUACAUUUCAGAUGACACUAAGGUCACCUGAAAGACGCCUUAAAGAUCAACCUGGUAUGCUGAAGUCAAUCCAAGCUGCCCCGACAGCACCUCAGCAAACUCCAACAUCAAAAGUGAAAGAGUCCAUGGGAACUCCAACAAGACAACAAACAGAAGAGAUCUCAAGUGCAUGCUGGGUACAGUUAGAAAGGUUAUCUGUAGAGGAAAUCUGCAGUGCUCAAAGUGUCCUGCAACCAAAGCACCACAGCACACCUGUCACUGUAAAACCCACUUCUAGAGGGAAUGAGAUGGACAAGGCAUCUCUGGCUUUGCAUGGAAGCAGAAGCUCUGGUUUAGGAUCACCCAUGCCGCCAGGUUACUCGCCAAGGGUUGUCCUUCAUCGUAUACCAUUAAAAGCUACUGAUGAGAACAUUUCUACACAUACUUCGUCCCCAACUAGAGUGUCCACCACACCCUCCCGAACACAGGCUCAUCAGUCUCCUCAAAACAGCCCUCCCGUCUCCAGUUUGGAUGCUGAUGAGAUUCCUGAUCAAGUGUCCCACAUCUUACUGCAUGACAUCUUCACUGAAGUUGUGGAUCCGGAUUGACUUUUAUUUGGGUUGUUUUGGUUCAGUUUCACUGCUGCUAUUCCAGUUCAUUGCACUAAAGUGGACGAUGUGUAACACUGUUACACUGCUAAUUUUAGACCUGUUAGUAAUUGUAAUAUAGUUCCUCUAAUUAAAUUUUGUUCAUGAAGGGAACAUUUAUAAAUAUUAUAUACAUUACUGUUAUGAGGCCUUUGCCCUUUUUUGGUGAUGAGCCAUGCGGUGAUACUGGUUAAGUCACAGUUAUUUAUUUCUAUUUAUUUAACGCUGAACAUCGAAACACUUUUAUCAGUGUGUUUUUACUGAGUGAUCUUGUUUUGUUCUGUGCAAAUAUAUUUGUUUUUAUGGUUACUGUAUGUUACUUUCAUUUGUUUUUCUUUCUGAGGGCAAAGCCCUUUUUGUGGGUUAUACCUUUCUCCAGUGAGAAUAUAUUAUAAAGAAUGUUUAUGAAUAAUUAGAUAUUGUUAGUUGUAUUUGCAAUUUGUGGUACAGUCUGGAUAUUACAGCACUGGAGAAAUUAUAAGUAAAUAAAUGAAUAAUCACUUUCUCCA